UACGAAGGGGGCUAGCGUUGUUCGGAUUUACUGGGCGUAAAGCGCACGUAGGCGGAUUGUUAAGUCAGGGGUGAAAUCCUGGAGCUCAACUCCAGAACUGCCUUUGAUACUGGCAAUCUCGAGUCCGGAAGAGGUAAGUGGAACUCCUAGUGUAGAGGUGGAAUUCGUAGAUAUUAGGAAGAACACCAGUGGCGAAGGCGGCUUACUGGUCCGGAACUGACGCUGAGGUGCGAAAGCGUGGGGAGCGAACAGG
rnacentral:rRNA from 1 species